rnacentral:rRNA from 1 species
ACGGCUCAGUAACACGUGGCUAACCCACCCUUGAGACGGAGAAAACCCCGGGAAACUGGGGUUAAUCUCCGAUAAGAGAAGACACCUGGAAUGGGUCUCCUCUCAAAGGGCGCCUAGACCAUGCUUCUAGGCGUUGCUCAAGGACGGGGCCGCGGCCGAUCAGGUUGUUGGUGAGGCAACGGCUCACCAAGCCUAUAACCGGUACGGGCCGUGAGAGCGGGAGCCCGGAGAUGGGCACUGAGAUAAGGGCCCAGGCCCUACGGGGCGCAGCAGUUGCGAAAACUCCGCAAUGCACGAAAGUGUGACGGGGCUACCCCGAGUGCCGUCCGCUGAGGACGGCUUUUCCCCGGUGUAAGGAGCCGGGGGAAUAAGGAGAGGGCAAGUCUGGUGUCAGCCGCCGCGGUAAUACCAGCUCUCCGAGUGGUAGGGAUGAUUAUUGGGCUUAAAGCGUCCGUAGCCGGCCCGGCAAGUCUUCCGUUAAAUCCAACGAUUCAAUCGUUGGACUGCAGGAGAUACUGUUGGGCUAGGAGGCGGGAGAGGCCGACGGUAUUCUCGGGGUAGGGGUAAAAUCCUAUAAUCCCGGGAGGACCACCAGUGGCGAAGGCGGUCGGCUAGAACGCGCUCGACGGUGAGGGACGAAAGCUGGGGGAGCGAACCGGAUUAGAUACCCGGGUAGUCCCAGCUGUAAACGAUGCGGGCUAGGUGUUGGGGCGGCUACGGGCCGCUUCAGUGCCGCAGGGAAACCAUUAAGCCCGCCGCCUGGGGAGUACGGCCGCAAGGCUGAAACUUAAAGGAAUUGGCGGGGGAG